GGGAAUAUUGCACAAUGGGCGCAAGCCUGAUGCAGCCAUGCCGCGUGAAUGAAGAAGGCCUUCGGGUUGUAAAAUUCUGUUAUAAGGGAAGAAAGGUGAUAGGAGGAACUGACUAUCAAUUGACGGUACCUUAUGAGAAAGCCACGGCUAACUCCGUGCCAGCAGCCGCGGUAAUACGGAGGGUGCAAGCGUUACUCGGAAUUACUGGGCGUAAAGCGCACGCAGGCGGUUUGUUAAGUCAGAUGUGAAAUCCCCGGGCUCAACCUGGGAACUGCAUCUGAUACUGGCAAGCUUGAGUCUCGUAGAGGGGGGUAGAAUUCCAGGUGUAGCGGUGAAAUGCGUAGAGAUCUGGAGGAAUACCGGUGGCGAAGGCGGCCCCCUGGACGAAGACUGACGCUCAGGUGCGAAAGCGUGGGGAGCAAACAGGG
rnacentral:rRNA from 1 species